ACUUAAAUAAUAUAAAAAUUAUAUUUGACUUCCAAUCAAAAAAUCUGUGUUACAGUUUAAGUA
rnacentral:tRNA from 1 species